GACGAACGCUGGCGGCGUGCUUAACACAUGCAAGUCGAACGGAAAGGCCCUGCUUUUGUGGGGUGCUCGAGUGGCGAACGGGUGAGUAACACGUGAGUAACCUGCCCUUGACUUUGGGAUAACUUCAGGGAAACUGGGGCUAAUACCGGAUAGGAGCUCCUGCUGCAUGGUGGGGGUUGGAAAGUUUCGGCGGUUGGGGAUGGACUCGCGGCUUAUCAGCUUGUUGGUGGGGUAGUGGCUUACCAAGGCUUUGACGGGUAGCCGGCCUGAGAGGGUGACCGGCCACAUUGGGACUGAGAUACGGCCCAGACUCCUACGGGAGGCAGCAGUGGGGAAUAUUGCACAAUGGGCGGAAGCCUGAUGCAGCAACGCCGCGUGCGGGAUGACGGCCUUCGGGUUGUAAACCGCUUUCGCCUGUGACGAAGCGUGAGUGACGGUAAUGGGUAAAGAAGCACCGGCUAACUACGUG
rnacentral:rRNA from 1 species